GGAUUAAGAAAAGGUGAAAGCACUCAGAGAAGAGAGCCAAAAUGUCUGCAAGGAAAAAAAAGGAAAGUCAGAAAAGAAGCCAACUCUAUUUCAACCAAAGGAAGUGGUCAGAAGAGACCCCCAGAGAAGGCUCUAAAUGAAGUUGAACUCUCCACAGAGUUUCCUGAAAAGUUGUGAAUGAAAACAAAACUCUUCCAGCCAACAACCAAUGGACUCGCUAACCAGCCCCAAACAGAACCCAGAUGUGUGGAGAUGCCCCUCUUUCCCCACAGAUGAAUUUGAUGAAAGAAAGGCACCAGAAGAAUCUCCACAGAGAUCAUGGGUCUGGGACACCGGGGUGGCUCAGUCUGUUGGGUGUCUGCCUUCGGCUCAGGUCAUGAUCUCAGGGUCCAGGGAUGGAGCUCUGCAUUGGAUUCCCUGCUCAACACAGAGCCAGCUCCU